GCCCUGGUAGCUCAGUUGGAUAGAGCGACCGCCUCCUAAGCGGUAGGUCACAGGUUCGACUCCUGUUCAGGGCACCA
rnacentral:tRNA from 2 species